AGAAUCCAGUGAACCAUCGAGUCUUUGAACGCAAGUWGCGCCCAAAGCCAUUAGGCCGAGGGCACGUCUGCCUGGGCGUCA
rnacentral:rRNA from 2 species